GUCCCCGGCGUCCGGGCGCCCUGCAUGGAUCCCCCACCCCAGCUCCUGCUCCCCGGCGGCGGCCGGUGGGCAGAAAGACCGAAACCCACUCACGGCCGCCUGCCGAAUCGCGGCUCUGCUGUUUGUGGGGCGUGCUAGAAACGUGGUCCUAAAAAGAAUGGCGUCCAUUUACAUAAUGCUUUGUUUGCGUUUCGCAAGUUUCUUUCGGUUAAAGCCACAGAAACCCCACCUCCUGCCCUUGUGUCGUUUCCACCGCGGCACCCUUUUCCGACAUUAGAAACAAUAGUGUACGCCUGUGGAGGCCUCGUUUGUUCAGGGGCUGCCGGCCAGGGCUUCAGGACGUUUCUGCGGCUUUCCCCGCGCGGCCUGGGCUCCCGCGGCUGCUUUUCGGGCCCAUGGGCGCAGCCACUGCGCCAGGCUCAAGGGGGGCGGCCCCGUCAGGGCCCGCCAUCUUGGAAGGCCUUUUUUGCCGGUUCUUCCCGCUGAGGAAGUGUCGCUCAAGACGCUGGCCUAUGAGUUGUGAUUUCUGCCUUUUCCCCUUCCUCCUUGGGCUAAGCCAGACCAGAAAGGGCCCCGUGCGCAACGUGCUUCACAAUCUCUCAGGGAAAGCGGCUAACGUGGCGCUACUCCGCCUCCCCUGUUCCUUACCCUUGGGGCGGCCGCCAUGUUUCCUGAACACAAAAUGGCGACACGUGGUUAGCAUUCGUCGCCAACGAGAAAUUGGGGUCGGCCCGAAAGCUCUAGAAUGCACCCCUCUUCCUCCCCGGGGCCUUCCACCUCCGCGAGUUUUAUGACUUAAAAAAGCCCACAGGCUGGUCUGAAGGUCGGAGGCCUAAUUUUAACGCGUUUUCCUCCCUUUAAUUUGAAACGGGAACGCGAAUGACUGUAAAAUGUGGGCACAAUAUUUAAUCUCUCGCCUUUUUAAAGCUUAAUAGUGGAUAAUAGGGGGGCAGUAUCAAGGGAUAAUUUGGGUCCCCACAGUACCAAAGCAUUUAGAAACCUCUGUUUAAUUUAAGGAAUGAGAUAAGUUACUGCUUUUCUAGACUUCCUAGCAUGGGCUGUUGUGCUGGAGAGAACGAGAGCUACGAAGAGACUACAGUGCCUCUGACUUUUUCAUAGGACAGUUGGCCGAGGAAGACAAACAUAAAGAUGAAGUGCUUAAUUCAAGGUCACACAAUGUCGGGGAUGGACCUCCAGAUUUCCUUACUGACCUGCAUUAUCUUGUGGAUACCUGAGUGAAUUCCACACCACCCAUUUUAUAGAUGAAACCACUGAGACAUGGAGCAAUUGACUGAGUAGUCACUGCCCCACCCCUGCCUGGAGCCUCACACAUGACUCGCCUCCUCUCAGUGACCACAGGAAAACAAGCUCAGGGCUCCCACUGAUUGUACAUUAUGAGACGGAGUCUUGCUAUGUUGCCCAGGCUGGUCUUGAACUCCUCACCUCAAGCGAUCCUCCCGUCUUGGCCUCCCAAGUGUCAGGAUUACGGGCAUGUGCUAUCACACCCAACCUGAUACAUUGCCUUUAUAAAUUUUUUUUUCUUUAUUCUAAAAACCAGAAAAAACAAAACUGGAUACAUGUGCAGAACAUGCAGACCAAGUGUGUUGGGGACUUGAGAUGCGUACAUGAGUGUGAUGUUUCCUGCUGAAAGCACAGGGAGGAGGACCUGGUUGAUAGAAGAAUUUAUCUCGUAGUCUUAACAUCCACUGUAAUUCCAAACUUUGAGGACGAUAGAGAUCAGUGGGCUUUGACUGCCCAGCAUGCAGUCUCCAUUCUUAGGUGGGUUCCCAAGCCUGUAAAAUGUAAGCCUUAUGCUGCUGAGGGCCAUCUUGCCACCCUGAGGGAAACGCUGCCUGAGAAUGAAACAAGCAUAAGUAAAAGCUGAGCUGUGAGAUGGAGCAAGAUGAAGGCCACAUGACAUCUUUGGAGCACCUGGAUCUAACUGUGCCUUAAGCUAGUCUAACCCUGAACAUUUCAUCAUUUCAUUGACAUGAGCCCAGGUUUUCUUUUUUUUUGGAUGGAGUCUUGCUCUGUCGCCCAGGCUGGAGUGCAGUAGCUCAAUCUCGGCUCACUGCAAGCUCCACCUCCCGGGUUCACGCCAUUCUCCUGCCUUAGCCUCCCAAGUAGCUGGGACAACAGGCGCCCACCACCACUCCCAGCUAAUUUUUUGUAUUUUUAGUAGAGACGGGGUUUUACCAUGUUAGCCGGGAUGGUCUUGAUCUCCUGACCUCAUGAUCCGCCCGCCUCGGCCUCCCAAAGUGCUGGGAUUACAGGUGUGAGCCACUGCACCCAGCCCUCAGGUUUUCCCUUUUUUUACCCCUCCUUUUGAAAAUUUGAUGUGGAAUUUUGCCACCUGCAGCCAGAAGAGUUUUAACUAAUCAGUGCCAUAAAUUUUAUAUAGUUCUCCUUGCAAAAUGUGGAUCAGCCUUUCUCAGCAAAUCCUUUGUCAUAAAGUGCUGAAUUGUAAGUUUGUCAUGAGAAUCACAUGAGAUCAUGCAUGUGAAGAACCUGGCAUUAUCCUCCUCAUAGAAAAAAACCAGUAAAUAUUAACUACAGGAAGCAAGGAAGGAGUGGGGUGAGGGGAAGAAGAAGGGGUACUGAUUUAAAAGAACCCUGGAGUCCUAAGGAUAAUCUAGGAACCCUCAGACCCAAUCCGAUACCCCUAUUCUAAAUGCUCCUAGUGCCCUGUACCUUCCCCUCAUAAGCCUUCAUUAUCAUUGUAAUGAUAUGUUUAUGUAAUAUUUUGAUUAAUGUCUCUCCUUCACUGACCUAGCAGUUCUAGCAGGGCAGUGAUUUUGCUGUGUUGCAUCCCCAGCACCUAGUCUGGUAUGUGGCAUUCAGCAUAUGUUUAUUGAAUGAAUGGCCAUGUGGUUAUUCAGAUCCUCCUUGAUUAUUGGGGUUAGGAUUGUGGCAGAAGUGGCAAAAUCAGGGAGAGUAGUCCCUGUCCCCUCUGUAUCUUAUACACUGCCCACACUCCCAACACACAUACACAUACAGAGAAUUUUGUCUCAAUUAGAUAAUUAACUUCUGCUUGGUUGUAAACCAAACCACUGGUUCUUAAACUUUCAUUGGAUCAUUUUAUUGAAGAAUUAAAUAGUGUGGUUCUGGCCUAAUGUCUGGAAAGCCUUGCAGAGGAGUGGAUUAGGUCUUUGUGAUAAACAGGCAGCCUUCCCUGCUCCUGUGUCUUUAUAAAAUCUAUUUAACUGGAGUAGUCCACCCUCCCUCAGGCUCUUACAGGAAUAUGUUGGAGGCUGUAGGAAGGUGGGAAACCGAGAGGGAAAGGACUGGGCCGCUGGAGACUUCACUCAUUCCCUAGCAAGAAACAAAAGCAGUAAAAGGUGGCCCGAGGACAACCUGAAGCUCACUCCUUCAGCACUUUUGGCUGGAGGUCACUUGUUGGAGCCCCACUCAGAGCUCAGCACACCACCCCACCAGCAGCCUCCUCCUCCCAGCUGAGGCUGCAUUUCAUCCCUUCCCCCAGCCUGCUUUCCCUGAGAUAGGGGAGUGUUUCCCAGGGCCCAUGUGACUUCCACUGGCAAGUGACGAUUACCAAUGGUUUACUAGUCAGUGAAACUACCAAAGGCUUUUGUGCUGUAGUAAUCCUUUUCCUGUUUAAAACUCUGGGGAUUUUCUAAUGUUGCCAAUAGUUUUUCAAGUCAGCAAUUACUGUGUGGAUUAUGUAAUGGCUCGGUAUUAAAAAUAGAAAAGACUGGA
rnacentral:lncRNA from 1 species